rnacentral:rRNA from 1 species
UACGUAGGCAGCAAGCGUUGUUCGGAUUCAUUGGGCGUAAAGGGUGCGUAGGUGGCGCCGUAAGUCGGGUGUGAAAUUUCGGAGCUUAACUCCGAAACUGCAUUCGAUACUGCGGUGCUUGAGGACUGGAGAGGAGACUGGAAUUCAUGGUGUAGCAGUGAAAUGCGUAGAGAUCAUGAGGAAGACCAGUGGCGAAGGCGGGUCUCUGGACAGUUCCUGACACUGAGGCACGAAGGCCAGGGGAGCAAACGGG